rnacentral:rRNA from 1 species
GCGGCGGAUGGGUGAGUAACACGUGGGCAAUCUGCCCUAAAGACUGGGAUACCACUUGGAAACAGGUGCUAAUACCGGAUAACAACAUGAAUCGCAUGAUUCAAGUUUGAAAGGCGGCGCAAGCUGUCACUUUAGGAUGAGCCCGCGGCGCAUUAGCUAGUUGGUGGGGUAAAGGCCUACCAAGGCAAUGAUGCGUAGCCGAGUUGAGAGACUGAUCGGCCACAUUGGGACUGAGACACGGCCCAAACUCC